rnacentral:lncRNA from 1 species
AUAUCAACAAAAAUUGUGUGUUACACUAAUAAAAAUCAUUGGGGAAAAGGGGGAUAAAUUUUUAAUAUAGCUAGGAAGUGUGGAGGCAUAUGACAAAAAGAAAAAAUCCAAAGUACUUUAUCCACGAUAUUGAAAAUAAACUACUGCUACAUCCUAAGAAAUUAAAGAAUGAUAGACGACAACUAUUUGAUACAAAAUUCAAUAAACAAAAUAAGGCAAAAAAAAUCUCCUUUGGCUUGGGAUCUGGUUACCAAGGAAGAGAAAAAGUUAUA